UGACUGGGGCGGUCUCCUCCUAAAGAGUAACGGAGGAGCACGAAGGUUGGCUAAUCCUGGUCGGACAUCAGGAGGUUAGUGCAAUGGCAUAAGCCAGCUUGACUGCGAGCGUGACGGCGCGAGCAGGUGCGAAAGCAGGUCAUAGUGAUCCGGUGGUUCUGAAUGGAAGGGCCAUCGCUCAACGGAUAAAAGGUACUCCGGGGAUAACAGGCUGAUACCGCCCAAGAGUUCAUAUCGACGGCGGUGUUUGGCACCUCGAUGUCGGCUCAUCACAUCCUGGGGCUGAAGUAGGUCCCAAGGGUAUGGCUGUUCGCCAUUUAAAGUGGUACGCGAGCUGGGUUUAGAACGUCGUGAGACAGUUCGGUCCCUAUCUGCCGUGGGCGCUGGAGAACUGAGGGGGGCUGCUCCUAGUACGAGAGGACCGGAGUGGACGCAUCACUGGUGUUCGGGUUGUCAUGCCAAUGGCACUGCCCGGUAGCUAAAUGCGGAAGAGAUAAGUGCUGAAAGCAUCUAAGCACGAAACUUGCCCCGAGAUGAGUUCUCCCUGACCCUUUAAGGGUCCUGAAGGAACGUUGAAGACGACGACGUUGAUAGGCCGGGUGUGUAAGCGCAGCGAUGCGUUGAGCUAACCGGUACUAAUGAACCGUGAGGCUUAACCUUACAACGCCGAAG
rnacentral:rRNA from 1 species